GACUACGGCCAUACCACCCUGGACAUGCUUGAUCUCAAUCUCAUCUCAUCUCGGAAGCUAAGCAGGGUCGGGCCUGGUUAGUACUUGGAUGGGGAGGAAAAAGACUCUGGUUUUAGCAGUGA
ensembl:rRNA 5S_rRNA 5S ribosomal RNA